rnacentral:lncRNA from 10 species
UCUUGUCCCACCCGCAGAGCUCCUUCUGGGAUUCUCUAUUGGCUGAACUCAGCCAGAAGCUGCCAAGGGAGACCCCCACAACUGGAUGCAGCCCACUGAAGUCAGCUUCCUGGGGUGCGUAGCUGAAGGUAGCAGGGAGCAAAAAGAAUCUGAAGGGGAAGUGAACAAUGUAGAGCGUAUCUGUGCUGAAGACGUAAGGAGAGAGUGGAGGUCAGAAGCUGGCAUGGUCCCUGGUGCAUGUAUCAGCCGCUAAAGAAGUGGAGAGUAUGAACAUAAGCAAGAGGAAGUGAUGAGUAUCCCUUCCAGGAGAACUCUAAGAGGCAGUGAGUGAUUUGCUGGGCUCCCAAGCCCUCUGCUCUGAUGACAGCAAAGCCCCAAAUCAUGGUGCCUCCAUCAGUCGGGACCCCUCAGCAGAGCCAGCUUCACAGCUGGAGUGGAUGAAUCAGAACUUUCCCCAUGGGAGCAUUUAUAAAAAGGGGACACCCAGCGCAGAAGAUGUUUUCCAGGGAGAUCUCGGGGAGCCCAACAAGCCAAGAAGAGCAGAGCAAAGCAUUCCAAGGAAGGACUCUAAGUCUGCAACCGAGCACACACGAGGUAGGUGCUUUUACCCCUGCUGUGCAUUCAAGGAAAGGAGAUCCGGAGAGGUUAUAGCAUCAGUCCCUAGUCACAAAAAUUAGUAGCAGACCUGGGAUUCAUGCCAAGACAUGCUGAUGCCCUAACCAGGUCUCUUAACCACACCACUGCAUGGCUUUUUGCAAAACUGUGGUUGAUAAAUUUUCCCUCUUUGUUAUUUUGUGUCCUUCAUGCCGGUAACUAACACGGUAAAUUCCCAUGCAAGUUUAUUUCAAGGUUAACACUUGCCUUUGUAGAUGACUUCCCUUGCUUUCUCUCAUCAGAAAUCCCUAACCGUGCGGGGUAAGCCUGGAUGGCAAGGAGCUUAGAACACAACUCAGUGGUCAUGAGCCUGACGUCAUUCAUCACUUUGCAUACCUUCAAGUUCUUCCAACCUCCUCUCUCCUUCAAAAAUCUUACUUAGGGCUCUGCCUCUUCCAAGAAGCAGUAGCAAGUCCCCCAGCUGAUGAGCAGAAUAAAAAUUUUUACAAAUGUGCAUACCAAUGGAGUUAUUUUAGAAUAUGCCCAGGCCUGCAGAGGAUGACUGCAAAAGCCCCUACUAUUGGUAGAGCAGUGAGAAAAUUGGUUUCACUGUCAUGCCUUGUGUAUUAGUUAUCUAUUGACUUAUGCUAAUUGACUGAUGCUACAUUUUUUAAAAAAACCACAAAACCUCAGCAGCAUACAGCAAUAAGUUUGCAUUGCUUGUGCAUUUAGGGUGCUCAGCCAGGUGGUUCUGCUGAUCUUGCUGGGGAUUACUCAUGCCCAGGGCUUGGCUGGCUGUUGGCUGAUUGAGACUGGCCUCAGUGGGAAUGAUUCUGGCAUCUCAGUUUGCUCCAUGUAUCUCUCAUCCUCCAGGGUAGCCUACGCAUGUACGUCUUGCAGUGAUGGCAAGGAGCAGGAGAAAGAAAGCCCAUCCAAACAAGCAUAUUGGAAGCCUAUGUAUCCCAUAAGCUGACAUCUUGUUGCCCAAAGCAUGUCAUGUGCGUGGUCCAGAGUCAGUGUUGAAGGGCUCUGCAAAAUCACAUGGUAAAGACUGUGGUUUCAGGGAGGAGUGAAGAUUUGUGCGCAUUGCUCCAAUUGACAACCAUGGCACUAGGCUCAGGCCACACUUCUUCCUAACAAGAGAGCAAGUCAAAGCGUGGUUAGUUAAAGUCCAUACAAAAACUCACUUUAACAGGCCUCCUCUGGAUUGAACAGCUGAUAUUAAGUCAUAAGGUACCACAUCAGAAAGAUACUGGGUAUCUUUGGUUCAGCAAUUCCAUCACCAGGGACUUUUUCAUCCUAAGGAAAUCACUGCACGGUGGACAAAGAUAUAUGCAUAAGGAUGCUCCUUCUGGCCAAAGACCAAAAACAUAACUGGCCAUCAGUAAAAGCCAAGUGAGUAAACUAUGGUCUAUAUAUGCAAUGAUCAAAGAAAUAAAGGAAAAUAUAUAAUUCUCUAGAAAGUAUCAAGUAAUAUGGAAGGAAACUAGGCAGGGGAGGAGAAUGGGUGUGGGGGCAACAAGGAGAGGCCAGAGUGAGAAGGUGAGGCUGUGACCUCAGAAUGAUGAGGUGUGCGGGGAGGAGAUUCCAGGCAGUGGGACAGCAUGUGCAAAGGGCCAGCGUGUGUGAGGGGUCCUGAUGUCACCAACACUACCACUAGCCCUCCUCCAAGUCCUCUCCCAUGGGUCACAUGAGCUCAUAUGGUUGCAAUCCAAUUUCAAAAAGGUCUCCUAACUUACCAGGCUCAAGCUGUUACUGAGAGUCCACCUUGACUUCUCAGGGGUCACUCCAUUUUCCAAAGACCAACCAAUUAGGUACAAGAGCAGAAGGGCUGUGGCCAAACAGACUUGCUGGAAUUGCUCUUUGAAAGGGUAUGAGCCAAGAUUUUUUUAUUUUUUCUUUUUUUAGACAGAGUCUCACUCUGUUACCCAGGCUGGAAUGCAGUGGCACGAUCUUGGUUCACUGCAACCUCCGCCCUCCAGGUUCAAGUGAUUCUUCUGUUUCAGCCCCCCAAGUAGCUGAGACUACAGGCACAAACCACCACGUCCAACUAAUUUUUGUAUUUUUAGUAGAGACGGGGUUUUGCCAUGUUGGCCAGGCUGAUCUCAAACUCCUGACCUCAGGUGAUCCCUCUGCCUUGGCCUCCCAAAGUGUUGGGAUUACAGGUAUGAGCCACCCCACCUGGCCCAAGAUUUCUAAUAGGUGGGUGCUACAGGUUGAAUGUGUCCCCCAAAGUUGAUGUGCUGGAAACUUGAUCCCCAAUGCAACAGUGUUGGGAGGUGGGGCCUGAUGGGAGGUGUUUAAUGAGGGCUCCACUUUCAUUAAUGAAUUAAUGCCAAUUAUAAAAGGGCUGACUCGAGGCUGCAAGUUUAAUCUCUUGCUCUCUCACUCUUUCUCGCCCUUCCACCUUCUACCAUGGAAUGACACAGCAUGAAGGUCCUCACUAGAUACAGCCCCUCAAUCUUAGACAUCCCAUUCUCCAGAACUGUAAGAAAUAAAUCUCUGUUCCUCAUAAAUUACCCAGUCUCAGGCAUUCUGUUAUAGUAAUACUUCAUGGACAAAGACAAUGUGUGAGCAGAGGGAAGGGAGUAACCAAUGGGACCAGAGACAGCCUGGGAUGGAGGAGAAGAGAGAGGUUUUGCAAAUCAGUUGAGCUGGCUUUGCCUGGCCCCACCAUUUACCCACUUUAUGACCAAAGGCCUGUCACUUCACCUCUUGGAGCCUCAGUUUCCCCGUGAAUAUGAGAAUCACACCCACUGCUAAGGUCAUAAAGAUU